CCUGUUUAAAGGAGCGAGCAUGUUGCUUCCUUUCCCGGAGGAAAGGCAGAAAGCUAAGGCUGCUCAGCUCUGGACACACCGACUGCCAUGUGGAAAGGGCACCUUUACGCAGAGCUGCCAUCGCGUCCUUCCUGAUGCACGCAGGGUGCGGGUAGGCAGGGCUGCCGUGACCCUGCACCCACUGAAAGCUAAGGGCACCCUUAUCUGUGCACGGCCAUCCUCUUCAAACGUCAAGCCUUUGUUUGAUUGUUUCUUUAACAUCACUCUUUUUAAACCAAAUUAAUCCAUCUCUUUUGGCCUCAGACCAUGCAUCAAAUUCAUGAAGCAAAGCAAAUAUUUGCCAAUGUACUUUAUUACUUCUAAGAAAUUGUAAUGAAAUCCAGCGAUACAGUAUCUUUGGAAACACAAUUUCUGCUAUGUAUUUGCAUCUGAGUUUGUUCUCACAUCCACAGUAACACCUACAUUUUGCAUACAUUCCUUGUUUAUUCUCACGUAUAGAAUCAUUCAGAAUUUUUAAAGUUUGGCACAUUUCUUUAUUCUGGCUUCAGAUGAAGGUUGGGUAAGGCAAGUAUUGCAUGCACCUAUUUGAUAAAGACGUCUUUCUUACACACUGACUUUAAGAUGUGUUGCAAAUCAAUGUUUCAGAAAAAAAAAGUGCUACUGCAGUGCACACAGAUUUCCUUACAUCGGUACAGAGAAUUUGCAACCCUCCUCUCCGCCCAAACAUUGGGAUUCUGAGCUAUAGAAAUGCCACAGCAACACAGACAGUUCUUCCAAGCAAUAGUGGUAUAAAAUAAAAAAUUCAUGAACAAGCUUGCUUAUUGCAUAGUCUUCAAAUACUACUGAAAAAAAAAUAAAAAUCCCAAAGUGGUUUAUAGCUAAAUACAGGACUGCAGCUUUAUUUUUAUCUUGCCUUUCCUUCCUUCCUCCAGAGCCACGUACAACUAAAAAUGCACGCUGUAAUCAGCAUAUGGAAACCUCAACACUAUUCCACUUCAUCGCUACGACACCGUCUCUCCCCCAGCUUGGCCGGCUCCCCGCAGCGAGCAGCACGCCGCGAGGGGGACACCCUACUGCUCCGCGUAUUGGGAACACAGAAGCUGGGAUCAAGCCGAGUGUGAUCCACCCGAAACCUCCCUGUCGCUCUCUUCUACCACUAAACUGCAGCCCGAUACAGUCACUGUGCCAUUUUAGCAAGCACAACUGCCCCUUGGAGCAUGCUCCACCAGGUCUCAGAGCUGCACCAGCCUUGGUUUUCUUCGGGCACACAGGAAAGCUUUGCUGCUGGCAGUGCGGUCCCCAGAGACCGAAGGCACACGGAAGAGAGCAGUGACAGCCCAGGUGCCCGCCUGCACCAGCUGCAGCUGUGCCCAGCCACCUGCCCUGCGGAGCUCAUCGAAGGUGGUUCUGGUCCUUAGCACCCAGAGACAGCCUUGCCUCAGAGGACACCCCACAGGCUGGUAGCUUGUCGCAGCGCGUUUUAGGAUUUUACCACUAUUUUUGACUGCAUACGUCAAUGAUGAGGAUGGACACAACCCAAGUUCCUCUGAUGCUUCCUCGCAUGCUGCGCAGGACAUGCUUGGCAGCCAGCCCGUGCCAUCUCUCACCCUCGGAGCAGGAGCUCUUCUCUGAGCCCUGAGCUCCCCCUCUAGAAGGCGAGUCCCAUCCCCUUCUCUUCCCCCGCAGCAAGAAGAACAAGGUCCCACAAGAGCACGUGGGUUUCCAAGCUCCUGGCCCACCCCCAGCCCUGGUCCCAUCAGCUGCUGCCUGUGAACAGAGCCCUGCAGGAAAUUCUGCCCUUUCGUUUUCUAUAUUUAUUAAAAUAUAUAUAAUCAUCAUUUAUUUGCUUCUCCUCCCACAGCUCUUAUGGUUACCGGGUUACAGUUGUCAUUACCCCUUCUUCUCUCUUUUUUUUUUUUUUCCCUUCUGAGUGACAUCCCUGUGGGGUCUCCUAAUGGCCCGAGCGCGUAGGGAGAGGCAGGCGCUGCCUCCGGAGCUGGGCUGCGCCCCUCUGCUGCUGCUGCACGCGUGGGCGCCGCUCUCUUGGCCAGGAGCUGAGUGCCCUUCUGCAAGGGGCCAUGCUGGGGAAGAGCGCACACAGGACACAAGGCUUUUCCCCCCAAAACACGUUUUAAACAUCUCUUCUGUCUUCUAAACACAAGUCUCAUAGCCAAGAGGUAAGCGAUUGCAAUCAGAACGCCUCCCAGCCUUAAAAAUAAUCCACGAGGAGCAAAAGUGCUGCAGGAUGCACGAACGGAGCCUUCCCCAGCACGCCCUCAUGAAACACCACUUGAAAGGAGCGUUCAUGGAGGGCAACUCCACAGACCAAGCGU
rnacentral:lncRNA from 1 species